UGCCCGAAAGGGUGACGAAGCGACGCCGCGUGGGUGAGGAAGGCCUUCGGGUUGUAAAGCCCUGUCAGGAGUUAAGAAAUGUAGACUCGCUAAUAUCGGGUCUAUUUGACAAAGGCUCCAAAGGAAGCCACGGCUAACUCUGUGCCAGCAGCCGCGGUAAUACAGAGGUGGCAAGCGUUGUUCGGAAUUAUUGGGCGUAAAGAGCACGUAGGUGGAUUUGUAAGUCAGACGUGAAAGCCUUCUGUUCAACGGAAGAAUUGCAUCUGAAACUACAAACCUUGAGUGUAGGAGGGGAGAAUGGAACUUCUGGUGGAGCGGUGAAAUGCGUAGAUAUCAGAAGGAACGCCGGCGGCGAAAGCGAUUCUCUGGCCUAUUACUGACACUCAGUGUGCGAAAGCUAGGGGAGCAAACGGGGUUAGAUACCCCGGUAGUCCUAGCCGUAAACGAUGGGCACUAAGUAGAGGGGU
rnacentral:rRNA from 1 species